ensembl:misc_RNA Metazoa_SRP Metazoan signal recognition particle RNA
GCCGGGCAUGGUGGUGCGUGCCUGUAGUCCUAGCUACUCGGGAGGCUGAGGCAGGAGAAUCGCUUGAACCCAGGAGGUACAGGUUGUGGUGACCCAAGAUCCCACCACUACACUCCAGCCUGGGCAACAGAGCGAGACUCUGUCUCAA